rnacentral:lncRNA from 1 species
UCCAUUGGCAAUUUGGGUUCCGCCGGAGCAGGAGCGAUUAUCCUAGACUCCAAAGGCUCUCAGGUAGCAGGUUGUCAUCGUUUUCUUGGCUCCUACUCUAACAUGAUUGCAGGACUUUGGGCCAUUCGUGAUGGGUUACAACUGGCUUAACAGCUACAUGUUGAUCAUAUUAUUGUGGAGCUUGAGGUUUUAUCUGUAAUUUCUCUAUUGCACAAAGGUAAUUGUAGUAACUUAACUCUUCGCUCCUUGGUUAUGGAUUGCAGGACUUUAUUGGCGACCUCCCAGCAUCGUCACCUCGUUCACAUCUUCUGAAAGGGUAAUUGCUAUGCUGAUUGUUUUGUAUUUCGAACUGCCUUCUUUAAAUGUGCAGCUUUGUCAAUUCUGAUAUUGCUGGACGCUUUGUCUAUCGUGCUACUGUUUCGUUUUAAAUUUUAGUAAUGAAAGUUCCUUUAUUUCCCACACAAGAAAAACAUAGUUUCAUCCCCUAACAUUUUGAUCCUGAAACUGCGAGCUAAUAAUGUUGAUGGAGAAAUUGCUUUGUUUAACUAGCAAGUGGCUUUUAUAUUGAAAGACAGAGGACAGUGUCGUUUUUGGAAUAAGUAAAUUGUUACAAAUUUUAAGCAUAAUUUUGCAGCAAAAGAAGAGUACUCAAUUACAUUUUACAUCACAGAGCACCAAUGUUCUUGAGACCAAGAACGAUCCCAACACCAAAAAUAUGGCCAACAACACCACAAGCCAAAGUGUCAGCAAGUGUAAAACCAGCAGGGUCACCAGUCUGCAAGCCUGAGUCCCUUACUUCAAGCUUCAAUCCAGCGGUGGCCUUUCUGUUUGCUGAUGGAGCCAACCCAAACCUCCCAGCAAACAGCAUCAGG